rnacentral:rRNA from 1 species
AACGUAGGUACCGAGCGUUAUCCGGAUUUACUGGGCGUAAAGCGCGUUCAGGCGGUUUGGCAAGUCGGGCAUGAAAUCUCUCGGCUCAACCGGGAGAGGUUGUCCGAUACUGCUGGACUUGAGGGCAGUAGAGGGUGGUGGAAUUCCGGGUGUAGUGGUGAAAUGCGUAGAUAUCGGGAGGAACACCUGUGGCGAAGGCGGCUUUCUGGUCCGAUACUAACGCUGAGGUGCGAAAGCGUGGGGGAGCGAGUCCGG